CACCUACAGUGUCUGGGACUUUGCCGGACAGACAGUCUACUACAACACUCACCAGUUCUUCCUCUCGAACCGUGCUAUCUACAUGCUGCUGUGGAACACACGGCUGGGUCACGAGCACGCUGGACUAGACUUCUGGCUCAGCUCUAUCCGCUGCCACGCCCCCAAGGCACCCGUCUUCAUCGUCGGCACGCACGCGGACAAGGUUUCACAUUGCGACAUGCCACAAGCUCAGAUGAAGAGGGACUAUGCUCAGAUUGUUGGCUUCUUCACUGUC